ensembl:lncRNA CT62 cancer/testis associated 62
UGCGAUCCGAGAGCGGGAUCCGCGCUCCCUCGGUCCUUCCUCCCUCCCCUCUUGCGGCCUCCCGCUGUCAUCUGGAGCCGCUCCUGCCGCCCCCUGGCGGCGACCGCGGGAAGGGCCGGCCCCCAUCCGCACCCCUGACCCCGGAGGUCAACAACGGGAUGGUCCCUGGGUCCCAGGGGAAGAGACAUCACCCAGUAGGAGGGAGUACGGUCUAGACAGAGGCCACGAGGGCGGGAGGGGGCGAGAGUGGAGAGUGGCCCAGCUGGCCAGGGUCGUCUAAGUGAGAGGAAAAGGGAGAGGGCGGUUGAGACCAGGCCCUGAAUUCCGCGUUCAUCUUAUCCUGAGGUCUGUGGGGACCUGUUGAAGGACUGGGGCAGGGGACGGACGCGGGCAUCCUUCCAUUUGGAACAGCCAUUCCGGCAGCAUCAGGAUGGGGCGGAGGCAAAGCGGGGAGUGGGCGAGGCAAGUGGUGCUGUAAACCUGUGCGAGAAGGGGGCGGUGACUCUAAGGGCAGGAAGGAGCCCUGGUCACACACACACUCCCACGCAAGGUAUUCAGUGCCGAGUGUGGCCUUGGUGCUAGGAUUCAAAGAGGAAAGGAAGAAAACUUUCCAUUCUAAAAGAAACUCCACGUGAGGCGAAGAAGAUGAAAUAUAGUCAGAAAACCAUACCAGUAGGUGUUAAGUUGAUAAAUGAUGCAUACGACAUCCUAUAGAAGACUGUCACCACCCCACCUCACUGAUCAGCCCUCUGCCUACAGCCACACCCACAGAACAUUCAGCCAUUUCUCCUGUGGUUCCCAGCCUGCAGCACAGCGUCUGCACGUGGAACUCUGGAAUGCUGACCUACAGUCUGAGUUCCUGUGCCCUUGCCUGGGGCUGACUCUCUACUUGACCUGUAACCCACAACUGGGCAAGAGAAAAUUCUGCAGCCACAGCUCUGAGGACAUGAGCAAAAUGGUUUCCAGACGGAAUGUCAAGGAU